UACAGAGGUCCCAAGCGUUGUUCGGAUUCACUGGGCGUAAAGGGUGCGUAGGUGGUGAGGUAGUCGAUGUGAAAGCUCGGAGCUCAACUCCGAAAUGGCAUUGGAAACUGCCUUGCUCGAGGGUUGGAGGGGGGACUGGAAUACUUGGUGUAGCAGUGAAAUGCGUAGAUAUCAAGUGGAACACCAGUGGCGAAGGCGAGUCCCUGGACAACUCCUGACACUGAGGCACGAAAGCUAGGGGAGCAAACAGG
rnacentral:rRNA from 1 species